rnacentral:tRNA from 1 species
GGACAGGUGGCCGAGCGGCUGAAGGCGCACGCUUGGAAAGCGUGUAUACCUGCAAGGGUAUCGCGGGUUCGAAUCCCGCCCUGUCCGCCA